AACCUAGCACACCUGCGGUGUGUACCUGCGGAAGGAUCAUUACCGAGUUAUACAACUCAUCAACCCUGUGAACAUACCUAUAACGUUGCCUCGGCGGGAACAGACGGCCCCGUAACACGGGCCGCCCCCGCCAGAGGACCCCCUAACUCUGUUUCUAUAAUGUUUCUUCUGAGUAAACAAGCAAAUAAAUUAAAACUUUCAACAAUGGAUCU
rnacentral:misc_RNA from 1 species